rnacentral:rRNA from 1 species
GUGGGGAAUAUUGGACAAUGGGCGAAAGCCUGAUCCAGCCAUGCCGCGUGUGUGAAGAAGGUCUUCGGAUUGUAAAGCACUUUAAGUUGGGAGGAAGGGCAGUAAGUUAAUACCUUGCUGUUUUGACGUUACCGACAGAAUAAGCACCGGCUAACUUCGUGCCAGCAGCCGCGGUAAUACGAAGGGUGCAAGCGUUAAUCGGAAUUACUGGGCGUAAAGAGUGCGCAGGCGGUUAUAUAAGACAGAUGUGAAAUCCCCGGGCUCAACCUGGGAACUGCAUUUGUGACUGUAUAGCUAGAGUACGGUAGAGGGGGAUGGAAUUCCGCGUGUAGCAGUGAAAUGCGUAGAGAUCUGGAGGAAUACCGAUGGCGAAGGCAGCCAUCUGGCCUAAUACUGACACUGAGGUGCGAAAGCAUGGGGAGCAAACAGGAUUAGAUACCCUAGUAGUCC